rnacentral:tmRNA from 1 species
GGGGGCGAAAUGGAUUAGACAUCUAUUUUAGAACCAAAAGUGCAUGUCGAGCUAGUAACAAGCUUGUAAAAUAAAGUUACAAAACAAUUAGUUGGCAAUAAAGCAAACUACGCACUAGCCGCAUAACUUGGCUAGCUCUCUUUGUCUGAUGCCUGUUAAGGCACAAGAGAGUCGAUUAAUAGGCUGCUUAGAAAUCCAUUUCUGUGGUUUUUCUAAAAAGAUAUUACAGAAUACUUUAUAAAUAUCCUGCUCAUCGGAGAUUUAAAAAAGGAACUUAAAAGAUGAAUCUAAACAUGUAGAUCUAAUGGGGAAAGAUCGAUGGACGCGGGUUCGAUACCCGCCGCCUCCACCA